UACGUAGGGGGCAAGCGUUGUCCGGAUUUAUUGGGCGUAAAGAGCGUGUAGGCGGUUUGUCGCGUCUGCUGUGAAAACCCGAGGCUCAACCUCGGGCCUGCAGUGGGUACGGGCAGACUAGAGUGCGGUAGGGGAGAUUGGAAUUCCUGGUGUAGCGGUGGAAUGCGCAGAUAUCAGGAGGAACACCAAUGGCGAAGGCAGAUCUCUGGGCCGUAACUGACGCUGAGGAGCGAAAGCAUGGGGAGCGAACAGG
rnacentral:rRNA from 1 species